UGUACCAAUGUGAACAUGCCUAAUCUCCUCUGAUCUCAGAAGCUAAGCAGGGUCAGACUUGGAUAGUACUUAAAUGAGAGUCCGUCCCUCACUGAAGAUGAAACCAUGAUCAC
rnacentral:rRNA from 1 species